GACGAACGCUGGCGGCGUGCUUAACACAUGCAAGUCGAACGGAAAGGCCUCAGCUUGCUGGGGUACUCGAGUGGCGAACGGGUGAGUAACACGUGGGUGAUCUGCCUUGCACUCUGGGAUAAGCUUGGGAAACUGGGUCUAAUACCGGAUAUGAACUGCCUUUAGUGUGGUGGUUGGAAAGUUUUUUCGGUGCAAGAUGAGCUCGCGGCCUAUCAGCUUGUUGGUGGGGUAAUGGCCUACCAAGGCGUCGACGGGUAGCCGGCCGGAGAGGGUGUACGGCCACAUUGGGACUGAGAUACGGCCCAGACUCCUACGGGAGGCAGCAGUGGGGAAUAUUGCACAAUGGGCGGAAGCCUGAUGCAGCGACGCCGCGUGGGGGAUGACGGCCUUCGGGUUGUAAACUCCUUUCGACAGGGACGAAGCUUUUUGUGACGGUACCUGUAUAAGAAGCACCGGCUAACUACGUG
rnacentral:rRNA from 1 species